CCUACGGGUGGCAGCAGUGGGGAAUAUUGCACAAUGGGGGAAACCCUGAUGCAGCGACGCCGCGUGAGUGAAGAAGUCAUUCGUGAUGGAAAGCUCUAUCAGCAGGGAAGAAAAUGACGGUACCUGACCAAGAAGCCCCGGCUACCUACGUGCCAGCAGCCGCGGUAAUACGUAGGGGUGAAGCGUUAUCCGGAUUUACUGGGUGGAAAGGGGGCGUAGACGGUUGCGCAAGUCUGGAGUGAAAGGCGGGGGGCCAACCCCCGGACUGCUGUGGAAACUGUGGAACUGGAGUGCGGGAGAGGUAAGCGGAAUUCCUAGUGUAGCGGUGAAAUGCGUAGAUAUUAGGAGGAACACCAGUGGCGAAGGCGGCUUACUGGACUGUAACUGACGUUGAGGCUCGAAAGCGUGGGGAGCAAACAGGAUUAGAUACCCCUGUAGUC
rnacentral:rRNA from 1 species